rnacentral:rRNA from 1 species
UACGUAGGGGGCAAGCGUUGUCCGGAUUUACUGGGCGUAAAGAGCGCGUAGGCGGAAGCUUAAGUGUGGCCUGAAAGCCCCCGGCUCAACCGGGGAGGGUGGCUGCAAACUGGGCUUCUUGAGGUCGAUAGAGGAGAGCGGAAUUCCUGGUGUAGCGGUGAAAUGCGUAGAUAUCAGGAGGAACACCGGUGGCGAAGGCGGCUCUCUGGGUCGGACCUGACGCUGAGGCGCGAAAGCGUGGGGAGCGAACGGG